rnacentral:rRNA from 1 species
ACCUUAAAAUCAAUUUGAAAUUUUGACCUCAAAUCAGGCAGGAAUACCCGCUGAACUUAAGCAUAUCAAUAAGCGGAGGAAAAGAAACCAACAGGGAUUGCCUUAGUAACUGCGAGUGAAGCGGCAAGAGCUCAAAUUUGAAAUCUGGCAUCCGCCCGAAUUGUAAUUUGUAGAAGCAACUUUUGAACUAGUCCUUGCAUAUGUUCCUUGGAACAGGACAUCAUAGAGGGUGAGAAUCCCGUUCAUGGUGGGGAGUCUAGUUCUCUGUAAAGUGCUUUCGACGAGUCGAGUUGUUUGGGAAUGCAGCUCUAAGUGGGUGGUAAAUUCCAUCUAAAGCUAAAUAUUGGCGAGAGACCGAUAGCGAACAAGUACAGUGAUGGAAAGAUGAAAAGUACUCCGAAAGGAGAGUGAAAUAGGACGUGAAAUUGUUGAAAGGGAAGUGCUUGAGAUCAGUCAUAGAGUUUAGUGAUCAGCUUUCUUUUUAGUUUGUGCACUUGCUAUUCUCUAGGCCAGCAUCAGUUUGAGGAUUAGGAUAAUUGCAUAGGAAUGUGGCUGUUUCGGCAGUGUUAUAGCCUGUGUCGAUACUACUUUUCAGACUGAGGACCGCGCAUUUGCUAGGAUGUUGGCAUAAUGAUCUUAAGCAGCCCGUCUUGAAACACGGACCAAGGAGUCUAACAACUAUGCGAGUGUUUGGGUGUUAAACCCG